GCCUCGGUAAGCGCAGUAGGCAGCGCGUAAGUCUCAUAAUCUUUAAGGUCGUUGAGUUCGAUCCUCACCCGGGGCA